GCAGGACUGAACAUGCAUCAUUCACAACGAAGAGGAGCUUCAGUCUUGUGCGGAGAUUGCGUACAAGCUUAGGUUUCAUUGUCACUGAUCCUUCACAUAAAGGACUCAAGGUGCAGCACUUCUGAAGGGGGUGGGGAUUAUUCUCCAUUCA